CUGAAACAAUUGCAAUUAACCCCCCUACACAAGCUGAAAUUACUUUUUACUAAUCUGUUCACAAUUCAGAAUCUGAUACUUUUCGCCGGAGCCCUUCUGAAUGUCCGUUUACGCUCAAAUUUGACAGUCAGGCUCGAUUAAAAUUAAUAAGAAGAACGAUAUCUUAACUUUUCAGUUUGGACCAUUUUGGUCAUCGAAAGCUCUACCGACCUAAAUCUUCAGUAGAUAGCAGUCAAAUUAUAUUUUUUUUCACUUUUCGGGUGUCGGAAUUAUAUGAAACUUUAAAUCUCACCUCAUAAAAGUAAUUUCGACAUAUUCUUCAAUUUUUAUAAUUUUCUGACAUUGUAAAUUUUCUGCUAAAAUAUCAGCCUCGUUUCUUACAGAAAAUUCUAAAUCUUCUGUUUCCAUUCUAAUUUCAACAUAAGUCAUUUCCGACUUAUAUUUUACUUCUCUAAGUCCAACAAAAAUAGCAUCUUACGCUAUUUUUAUUUACACUUACUUUUAUAUUAAAAAUUCGAUAUAUUACAUAAACCCUAAUUCUACAAAAACCCUAAUUCCUAGGGUUUCAA
rnacentral:lncRNA from 1 species